rnacentral:rRNA from 1 species
UACGUAGGGCGCAAGCGUUGUCCGGAAUUAUUGGGCGUAAAGAGCUCGUAGGCGGCCUGUCGCGUCUGCUGUGAAAUCCCGGGGCUUAACCCCGGGCGUGCGGUGGAUACGGGCUGGCUGGAGGCAGGCAGGGGAGAACGGAAUUCCCGGUGUAGCGGUGAAAUGCGCAGAUAUCGGGAGGAACACCAGUGGCGAAGGCGGUUCUCUGGGCCUGUACUGACGCUGAGGAGCGAAAGCGUGGGGAGCGAACAGG